AGAGCUUGCUGGGGAAUUUAAUACGUGUGUGCAGUGCCCUUGGAUCAAGAAAGAAGGAUCAGUCACAACAAAAGAUGAAAAGCUGUCAGUGUAGGAUACCUUGCAGACGGUCCUGCAAAACCGUAUAACGUAAAAUCAAGCAGUAGGCUUUGACAUGCCCAAGCCUGCAGGGCGACCCGGCCGGAGUGGCAGUGCGGUUCUAGGUGCUACAGUCUGGAGCCGAGCGACCGCUACGGUAGCCGGGCGAGCACCUACAUGUGUGGACCUGCAGCAAACUCAGCCACCAUCUUGGCGAGACCUCCACCGACCUCUGGACCUGCAGCAGCAACAACCUCCAGCAUGUUUGAACCUGUAGCAACCACACGGGAUCCCGGUCCACACACAACCCACCUGCUGGAGUUGGACAUUGAGCUGUUACUGUCUGCGCCACUCAUCGAUUUGUGUGACAAGGACAGGUGGUCUGCUCCCAACACAUUGAAUACUGCUUGUGGUCCUAAACAACAGCAAGAUGGAGGACAGUAUUGGUCACUGACUAUGACCCAUCCUAGCAGAACAUCCCUGUGCUAGUGCACUCACAGAGUGCAAAUGCUGUGGAUACGAAGGUAUCAAGGGUACCCAUGCUUUUCAGUUCUACACACAAUUUAACUCGUAGUGGAACGAAAUAUGCAAACAUGGUUAUAGAAGCACAUCCUGAGUGGGGCUUGCGCAUGAGAAUAUAAAUUGAAAAUGCAUUGAUGGGUGUUGAAAUGCCUAUUUCUGACGUCAACUGGGAUAAUGUCGUGGAGAGCA